GUGCUUGCUUCAGUUGCACAUAUUUUAAAAUUGGAACGAUACAGAGAAGAUUUAUCAUGGCCUUGAGCAGGAUAAGAUGCAAAUUCAUGAAGUGUUUCCUAUUUUA